AUGGCAACCUCUCAAAUCCAGCAGUCAGCAUUUGCCGGCCAGACCACAUUGAAGCAGUCGAAUGAGCUCAUCAAAAAGAUCGGAGGCCUUGGUGGUGGCCGUAUCACAAUGAGGUGCACUGUUAAGAGUGCCCCAGAAAGCAUAUGGUAUGGUCCUGACCGCCCAAAAUACUUGGGACCAUUCUCUGAGCAAACUCCAUCCUACUUGACUGGUGAAUUCCCAGGUGACUACGGAUGGGACACUGCUGGACUAUCUGCAGACCCCGAGACAUUUGCCAAGAACCGUGAGCUUGAGGUGAUCCACAGCCGGUGGGCUAUGCUUGGUGCAUUGGGCUGCGUCUUUCCAGAAGUCUAGUCCAAAAAUGGUGUCAAGUUCGGUGAGGCUGUUUGGUUCAAGGCCGGGUCCCAAAUCUUUUCCGAGGGCAGCCUGGACUACCUCGGCAACCCAACCCUUAUCCACGCCCAGAGCAUCCUGGCAAUCUGGGCCGUCCAGGGGCUUCAUUGGGGGGUACAGAGUUGGUGGAGGCCCUCUUGGUGAGGGUCUGGAUCCACUUUACCCAGGAGGAUCAUUUGACGCACUUGGACUAGCUGAUGAUCCUGAUGCCUUCGCUGAACUGAAGGUGAAGGAACUGAAAAAUGGGCGGCUGGCAAUGACCUCCAUGUUUGGAUUCUUUGUUCAGGCUAUUGUCACUGGAAAGGGUCCUAUUGAGAACCUCUAUGACCAUGUUCCUGAUCCAAUUGCUAACAAUGCUUGGGCUUAUGCCACAAACUUCAUCCCAGAAAGUGAAGAAGUUUAAGUUGAUACUUUUGAUCUGCAACACUACCCAAACUUCUAGAUUUUGUUGAGGUUGUUUCUCUGGGAAUCUAUUAGUUCUGAUGUAAUCUAUUUUCCGAAGCAAGUUCUGAUGCAAUUUCCUAGUAGAAACUGCUUGUAUCAAAAGCACUUUAUCCAGUAAAAAGACCCAGCUCGUUUGUGGUUGAAUUCCUUAUCUG